CGGUCCAGACUCCUACGGGAGGCAGCAGUAGGGAAUCUUCCGCAAUGGGCGAAAGCCUGACGGAGCAACGCCGCGUGAGUGAUGAAGGUCUUCGGAUCGUAAAACUCUGUUAUUAGGGAAGAACAUACGUGUAAGUAACUGUGCACGUCUGACGGUACCUAAUCAGAAAGCCACGGCUAACUACGUGCCAGCAGCCGCGGUAA
rnacentral:rRNA from 1 species